AUACUUACCUGGCAGGGGAGAUACCAUGAUUAAGAAGGUGGUUCACCCAGUGUGAGGCUCAGCCAUUGCACUCUGACUGUCUGACCCCUGCUAAUUCCCCAAAUGCGGGAAUCUCGACUGCAUAAUUUGUGCUACUGCGUUCGCGCUCUC
rnacentral:snRNA from 1 species